UGGGGAAUCUUGGACAAUGGGGGAAACCCUGAUCCAGCCAUGCCGCGUGAGCGAUGACGGCCUUAGGGUUGUAAAGCUCUUUCACCGGUGACGAUAAUGACGGUAGCCGGAGAAGAAGCCCCGGCUAACUCCGUGCCAGCAGCCGCGGUAAUACGGAGGGGGCUAGCGUUGUUCGGAAUUACUGGGCGUAAAGCGCGCGUAGGCGGAUCGUUAAGUCGGGGGUGAAAUCCCGGGGCUCAACCCCGGAACGGCCCUCGAUACUGGCGAUCUAGAGGACGAGAGAGGCGAGUGGAAUUCCGAGUGUAGAGGUGAAAUUCGUAGAUAUUCGGAGGAACACCAGUGGCGAAGGCGGCUCGCUGGCUCGAUCCUGACGCUGAGGCGCGAAAGUGUGGGGAGCAAACAGGAUUAGAUACCCCCGUAGUCC
rnacentral:rRNA from 1 species